AACCCCUACGCGAACUUGCAACUUGCUUGUCCAGGCAUUGGUGAAGCAGAAGGGUUUCUCUCUCGCUCCAUUUGCUACGAUGAGAGCCAAGUGGAAGAAGAAGCGAAUGAGGAGGUUGAAGAGAAAACGUCGAAAGAUGAGGCAAAGAUCCAAGUAGUUGCAGUUUUAGCUCGCCAAGCCAUUAAUUAAAAGUAAUAGUUGCAAUACAAUUCUAUGCUUUACGUAAGCUCCAAAAAGUCAGAGUUAAUCAACUAAGGAGUCUCUUGUCUCAGCAAUCACAGCUGUUUCCAUGAAAGCAUUUUCUGUAUAUGUUGAAAGGGAAUUUUAACCCGGGGAUGGAAGUUGAUUGAUGAGCAUUUGGAUUUUGUUUGAAA